CAGACGGGUGAGUACACGUAGAUAACCGUGCCGUCAGACGGGGACANCGGGUGGAGACAGCGGCUAAUACCCGAUAUGCUCACAGGAUCGGGAGAUUGAGUGAGGAAAGGCUACGGUGCUUGAGGAGGGAUCUGCGGCCCAUCAGCUAGUUGGUGAGGUAACGGCUCACGAAGGCGAAGACGGGUAGGGGGUGUGAGAGCAUGGCGCCCCACAAUGUGACUGAGACACGGGCCAUACUCCUAGCGGGAGGCAGCAGCGGGGAAUAUUGCGCGAUGGACGGAAGUCAGACGCAGCGAUGCAGCGUGGGUGAGGAAGGCGUUCGGGUUGUAAAGCCCUUUUCAGGGGAGCGAGAAAGGACGGUACCCUUGGAAUAAGCGUCGGCUAACUACGUGCAAGCAGCCGCGGUAAGACGUAGGACGCAAGCGUNAUCCGGAAUUACUGAGCGUAAAGCGCCUGUAGGGGGGCAAGUAGGUCGGAUGUGAAAGCCCCGUGCUCGAAGCGGGGGAAGCGAUUCGAUACUGCGUGACUAGAGAACGGCGAAGGGAACCGGAAUUCCUUGGUGUAGCG
rnacentral:rRNA from 1 species